AGAUUCCACUCCAAGUGAGCACUACAGAGUAGCCAAAGAAAUUAGCACACAAUAGAUUGAAAUUUAAAACAAAAUAAGAAGGCCUGAAAAUAAUUUAACUUGCACACUUAAGAUAUGCAGUAAUAGUACUAGGCCAGUUUACUGUUCCAGGAAACAAUCAGAAAGACAGUUGGAAAGCAGGAAACUAAUGGAGAGGGGAAAUCUAUGUCCUCAUGAGAUAUGAAGUUGUCCAAUCAGGAAAAUUUUCACUGAAAGCAAAUUCUGAAGCAAAAAGAAAAGAUUAAAUGGGUCAUCAUUUAUUACUAUGAUCAUAUUAUCUGCCAGAAGUAAUGUAUAAGCAGGUGAAACAAACAGUUCAGAUUUCAAUCCAGUGUUGAUAUAAUAAAUGCAGCAGAAGGGAGAGAAAAAGAGAGAUUUCCUCGAUGAAUACAACGCAACUGUCUCAUAAGAACUUAACCAAUCAACUAAUCAAUGCAACCAUUAGUGGAGAAAGUUAUUAUUAGAUCACAGUUUCAAAUAUGCAUCACUCAGUUUGCUUGAAUGCCUCGAUCAAAACAUUAUGGUUUGAGAUCAUGAUAGGGAAUAAUGCGCAGGAAUAUGUCAAAUCGUCAACAGAUACAUAAAUGGUCGUGUUAUAGGGUAGGGUACAAAAUAAUAAUUUAAAAUUGCAACAGAAAAGUUUAAACAAUAAUUUAAGUAAAAAUUCCUUCUCAAAAAUCGAAAGUCACCUGAUUGGGCAGUAGUGAGGAAGU
rnacentral:misc_RNA from 1 species